UACGGGGGGAGCAAGCGUUGUUCGGAUUUACUGGGCGUAAAGGGCGCGUAGGCGGUCACUACAAGUCAGCUGUGAAAUCUCUGGGCUUAACUCAGAACGGUCAACUGAUACUGUCGGACUAGAGUGCAGAAGGGGCAACUGGAAUUCUCGGUGUAGCGGUGAAAUGCGUAGAUAUCGAGAGGAACACCUGCGGCGAAGGCGGGUUGCUGGGCUGACACUGACGCUGAGGCGCGAAAGCUAGGGGAGCGAACGGG
rnacentral:rRNA from 1 species